CAACUCUUGUCGUCACACAAGAGUCCUCACUUGAAACCUCAAUUGCGAAAUCCAGAAAAGCAGAAAAGAGAACGCAACUGAUCCGAGUUCAGAUCUAAAACCCGCUGAUCCUAGCCAAAGAAACCUCUCUAGAAGAACACAAGUUCAGAUCUGUGCGAAAUUGUCGAAAUCUGGAUCUGUGAUUCAAAUCUGUGAGCAGCUGUUACUUGCUGAUGGAUUGAUGAUUGCGGCUGGAAUCAAGUCGGUAAACACUAGAGAGACCUCUCUAACUCUUCCCGAUGAUGGCUGAUGAUCUCCUGCUGUCAACAUCGUUCGAACAGGGGCGGAAAUGAAGAUUUGAAUCGCAGCAAAGCUUGCCGUCGAGACCUCUUUGGCAACCCUCCAGCUUUAGGAAAUUAGGUUGGUAAUGAUGCUGAAAACCUUGCUGGAAAUUCUGAUUAUGCUGCUGGAAACCUUGCUGAGGUUGCUGGAAAUUGCUGGAAUUGUGGCUGAAAUGCUGAUUUGAAGAUGGUUGUUGAUAGAAUGAAUUUUCAUACUUCAAAUUCGGAUGAUCUCUCCACCCCGGAUUGUAUGUGGAUGAAUAAGGAUCAUGUUUUUGUUGGAAUUGAGCUCUAGAGAAAGCUGCCAAAGAUUCAUCCUGAUGGAGAUUUGGACAAAGUCUGAAAGGUGAUCUUGACUCGAACAAAUGCUACAAACUAUGCUUUGUUUACAUGGAAAUUGCAUA